CCGUGCAAAGGUAGCGUAAUCACUUGUCUUUUAAAUAAAGACUAGUAUGAAUGGCAUCACGAGAACUAAUCUGUCUCCCUCCCCCAAUCAGUGAAACUGAUCCUCCCGUGCAGAAGCGGGGAUAAUAUCAUAAGACGAGAAGACCCUGUGGAGCUUCAAAUCAAAAACCAACUGCUCCCUCUUCCCUUAAACAAGGAAAUAUUAAUGCAAACGCCUGGUUCAAGAUUUUUAGCUGGGGCGGCUAUGGAGAAAAAAAAAUCCUCCACGAAGAACUAUACUGAGGGCUACCGCCCUAAGCAUUAACAAAUUAAUUUAAUUGACCCUUUUUUGAUCAACGGACCAAGUUACCCCAGGGAUAACAGCGCAAUCCACUUUCAGAGUCCAUAUCGACAAGUGGGCU
rnacentral:rRNA from 1 species